UAGGGAGACCAUCUGAUAGUAGACCGAACCUAAACAAUAGGUCAACAUCAGUCAUCCCUGGUCGUUCGAGGAAUAGAUGUCAAAGCUUUCAAACUAUUAACUGGUUCGGAACUCGCGGGCUAUUAGCUCAGUUGGUUAGAGCGCACCCCUGAUAAGGGUGAGGUCCCUGGUUCAAAUCCAGGAUGGCCCACCUGGAAAAAAGUGAUGAAUUGUCAGUAAUGAGUAAUGGAUAAUCUUAGAUAUCUUAGAUUAAUUCAGGACUCAUAUAAUCCAAAUCAGAACUUGCUUAGUGGGGGUAUAGCUCAGUUGGUAGAGCGCCUGCCUUGCACGCAGGAAGUCAGCGGUUCGAGUCCGCUUACCUCCACUCUCACUAACGAUAACCAAGCGCCAAAAAGGCCAAAGAAAUAGAAAUCAGCACCCAGACUAACUUGGUCAAAAAAGAAGUCGGAAUGCUGGAGUCUAGAACUCUAGUCAGAACCUUGAAAACUGCAUAGAAAUUAAGUCAUCAAAGCGUGUCAGCCAUCCGAGUCAUCGGAGCAUCUGACAAGCGACCACCAUCAAAAAAUCAAGU
rnacentral:tRNA from 1 species